UACGUACCGUCCAAACGUUAUUCGGAAUUACUGGGUUUAAAGGGUACGUAGGCGGCGCUGUUAGUCGGGUGUGAAAUCCCUCGGCUCAACCGAGGAACUGCGCCCGAUACUGCAGUGCUUGAGGGAGACAGAGGUAAGCGGAACUGAUGGUGGAGCGGUGAAAUGCGUUGAUAUCAUCAGGAACACCGGUGGCGAAAGCGGCUUACUGGGUCUCUUCUGACGCUGAGGUACGAAAGCCAGGGGAGCGAAGGGG
rnacentral:rRNA from 1 species